rnacentral:tRNA from 1 species
GGGGCUAUGGUCUAGUGGUAUGAUUCUCGCUUAGGGCGAUUCGAUCCUAAGAUUCGAUCCUAAGAAGUUCAUCAACGAGCUAUAAUCUGCGAGCGGUCCCGGGUUCGAUUCUCGGUAGCCCCC